rnacentral:rRNA from 1 species
GGGUUGUGAGGUUAAGCGACUAAGCGUACACGGUGGAUGCCCUGGCAGUCAGAGGCGAUGAAGGACGUGCUAAUCUGCGAAAAGCGUCGGUAAGGUGAUAUGAACCGUUAUAACCGGCGAUGUCCGAAUGGGGAAACCCAGUGCAAUUCGUUGCACUAUCGUUAACUGAAUACAUAGGUUAACGAGGCGAACCGGGGGAACUGAAACAUCUAAGUACCCCGAGGAAAAGAAAUCAACCGAGAUUCCCCCAGUAGCGGCGAGCGAACGGGGAGCAGCCCAGAGUCUGAAUCAGCUUGUGUGUUAGUGGAACGGUCUGGAAAGUCCGACGGUACAGGGUGAUAGUCCCGUACACCAAAAUGCACAGGUUGUGAACUCGAAGAGUAGGGCGGGACACGUGGUAUCCUGUCUGAAUAUGGGGGGACCAUCCUCCAAGGCUAAAUACUCCUGACUGACCGAUAGUGAACCAGUACCGUGAGGGAAAGGCGAAAAGAACCCCGGCGAGGGGAGUGAAAAAGAACCUGAAACCGUGUACGUACAAGCAGUGGGAGCACCUUCGGGUGUGACUGCGUACCUUUUGUAUAAUGGGUCAGCGACUUAUAUUCUGUAGCAAGGUUAACCGUAUAGGGGAGCCGCAGGGAAACCGAGUCUUAACUGGGCGUUAAGUUGCAGGGUAUAGACCCGAAACCCGGUGAUCUAGCCAUGGGCAGGUUGAAGGUUGGGUAACACUAACUGGAGGACCGAACCGACUAAUGUUGAAAAAUUAGCGGAUGACUUGUGGCUGGGGGUGAAAGGCCAAUCAAACCGGGAGAUAGCUGGUUCUCCCCGAAAGCUAUUUAGGUAGCGCCUCGUGAACUCAUCUUCGGGGGUAGAGCACUGUUUCGGCUAGGGGGUCAUCCCGACUUACCAACCCGAUGCAAACUACGAAUACCGAAGAAUGUUAUCACGGGAGACACACGGCGGGUGCUAACGUCCGUCGUGAAGAGGGAAACAACCCAGACCGCCAGCUAAGGUCCCAAAGUCAUGGUUAAGUGGGAAACGAUGUGGGAAGGCACAGACAGCCAGGAUGUUGGCUUAGAAGCAGCCAUCAUUUAAAGAAAGCGUAAUAGCUCACUGGUCGAGUCGGCCUGCGCGGAAGAUGUAACGGGGCUAAACCAUGCACCGAAGCUGCGGCAGCGACACUAUGUGUUGUUGGGUAGGGGAGCGUUCUGUAAGCCUGCGAAGGUGACCUGUGAGGGGUGCUGGAGGUAUCAGAAGUGCGAAUGCUGACAUAAGUAACGAUAAAGCGGGUGAAAAGCCCGCUCGCCGGAAGACCAAGGGUUCCUGUCCAACGUUAAUCGGGGCAGGGUGAGUCGACCCCUAAGGCGAGGCCGAAAGGCGUAGUCGAUGGGAAACAGGUUAAUAUUCCUGUACUUGGUGUUACUGCGAAGGGGGGACGGAGAAGGCUAUGUUAGCCGGGCGACGGUUGUCCCGGUUUAAGCAUGUAGGCUGGUUGUCCAGGCAAAUCCGGAUAAUCAAGGCUGAGGUGUGAUGACGAGGCACUACGGUGCUGAAGUAACAAAUGCCCUGCUUCCAGGAAAAGCCUCUAAGCAUCAGGUAACAUCAAAUCGUACCCCAAACCGACACAGGUGGUCAGGUAGAGAAUACCAAGGCGCUUGAGAGAACUCGGGUGAAGGAACUAGGCAAAAUGGUGCCGUAACUUCGGGAGAAGGCACGCUGGUGUGUAGGUGAAGUCCCUGCGGAUGGAGCUGAGACCAGUCGAAGAUACCAGCUGGCUGCAACUGUUUAUUAAAAACACAGCACUGUGCAAACACGAAAGUGGACGUAUACGGUGUGACGCCUGCCCGGUGCCGGAAGGUUAAUUGAUGGGGUUAUCCGUAAGGAGAAGCUCUUGAUCGAAGCCCCGGUAAACGGCGGCCGUAACUAUAACGGUCCUAAGGUAGCGAAAUUCCUUGUCGGGUAAGUUCCGACCUGCACGAAUGGCGUAAUGAUGGCCAGGCUGUCUCCACCCGAGACUCAGUGAAAUUGAACUCGCUGUGAAGAUGCAGUGUACCCGCGGCAAGACGGAAAGACCCCGUGAACCUUUACUAUAGCUUGACACUGAACAUUGAGCCUUGAUGUGUAGGAUAGGUGGGAGGCUUUGAAGCGUGGACGCCAGUCUGCGUGGAGCCAACCUUGAAAUACCACCCUUUAAUGUUUGAUGUUCUAACGUUGGCCCCUGACCGGGGUUGCGGACAGUGUCUGGUGGGUAGUUUGACUGGGGCGGUCUCCUCCCAAAGCGUAACGGAGGAGCACGAAGGUUAGCUAAUCCUGGUCGGACAUCAGGAGGUUAGUGCAAUGGCAUAAGCUAGCUUGACUGCGAGCGUGACGGCGCGAGCAGGUGCGAAAGCAGGUCAUAGUGAUCCGGUGGUUCUGAAUGGAAGGGCCAUCGCUCAACGGAUAAAAGGUACUCCGGGGAUAACAGGCUGAUACCGCCCAAGAGUUCAUAUCGACGGCGGUGUUUGGCACCUCGAUGUCGGCUCAUCACAUCCUGGGGCUGAAGUAGGUCCCAAGGGUAUGGCUGUUCGCCAUUUAAAGUGGUACGCGAGCUGGGUUUAGAACGUCGUGAGACAGUUCGGUCCCUAUCUGCCGUGGGCGCUGGAGAAUUGAGGGGGGCUGCUCCUAGUACGAGAGGACCGGAGUGGACGCAUCACUGGUGUUCGGGUUGUCAUGCCAAUGGCACUGCCCGGUAGCUAAAUGCGGAAGAGAUAAGUGCUGAAAGCAUCUAAGCACGAAACUUGCCCCGAGAUGAGUUCUCCCUGAGACUUUAAGUCUCCUGAAGGAACGUU